rnacentral:rRNA from 1 species
GACGAACGCUGGCGGCGUGCCUAAUACAUGCAAGUUGAGCGCUGAAGGUUGGUACUUGUACCGACUGGAUGAGCAGCGAACGGGUGAGUAAAGCGUGGGGAAUCUGCCUUUGAGCGGGGGACAACAUUUGGAAACGAAUGCUAAUACCGCAUAAAAACUUUAAACACAAGUUUUAAGUUUGAAAGGUGCAAUUGCAUCACUCAAAGAUGAUCCCGCGUUGUAUUAGCUAGUUGGUGCGGUAACGGCUCACCAAGGCGAUGAUACAUAGCCGACCUGAGAGGGUGAUCGGCCACAUUGGGACUGAGACACGGCCCAAACUCCUACGGGAGGCAGCAGUAGGGAAUCUUCGGCAAUGGACGAAAGUCUGACCGAGCAACGCCGCGUGAGUGAAGAAGGUUUUCGGAUCGUAAAACACUGUUGGUAGAGAAGAACGUUGGUGAGAGUGGAAAGCUCAUCAAGUGACGGUAACUACCCAGAAAGGGACGGCUAACUACGUG